UACGUAGGUGGCAAGCGUUGUCCGGAUUUACUGGGCGUAAAGGGCGCGUAGGCGGCCCGGCGCGUCCGCGGUGAAAGCUCCCGGCUCAACUGGGAGAGGUCCGCGGAAACGGUCGGGCUGGAGCAAGGUAGGGGGUCGUGGAAUUCCCGGUGUAGUGGUGGAAUGCGUAGAGAUCGGGAGGAACACCAGUGGCGAAGGCGGCGACCUGGACCUGUGCUGACGCUGAGGCGCGAAAGCGUGGGGAGCGAUCCGG
rnacentral:rRNA from 1 species